rnacentral:rRNA from 1 species
GGGGAAUCUUAGACAAUGGGCGAAAGCCUGAUCUAGCCAUGCCGCGUGAGUGAUGAAGGUCUUAGGAUCGUAAAGCUCUUUCGCCAGGGAUGAUAAUGACAGUACCUGGUAAAGAAACCCCGGCUAACUCCGUGCCAGCAGCCGCGGUAAUACGGAGGGGGUUAGCGUUGUUCGGAAUUACUGGGCGUAAAGCGCACGUAGGCGGAUUAGCAAGUUGGGGGUGAAAUCCCGGGGCUCAACCCCGGAACUGCCUCCAAAACUGCUAGUCUAGAGUUCGAGAGAGGUGAGUGGAAUUCCGAGUGUAGAGGUGAAAUUCGUAGAUAUUCGGAGGAACACCAGUGGCGAAGGCGGCUCACUGGCUCGAUACUGACGCUGAGGUGCGAAAGUGUGGGGAGCAAAC